GACGAAACGCUGGCGGCGUGCUUAACACAUGCAAGUCGAGCGGUAAGGCCCUUUCGGGGGUACACGAGCGGCGAACGGGUGAGUAACACGUGGGUGACCUGCCUCUAGCUCUGGGAUAAGCCUGGGAAGCUGGGUCUAAUACCGGAUAUGACCUCGCGGUGCAUGUUGCGGGGUGGAAAGCCUUGUGCGGCUAGGGAUGGGCCCGCGGCCUAUCAGCUUGUUGGUGGGGUGANGGCCUACCAAGGCGACGACGGGUAGCCGGCCUGAGAGGGCGACCGGCCACACUGGGACUGAGACACGGCCCAGACUCCUACGGGAGGCAGCAGUGGGGAAUCUUGCGCAAUGGGCGAAAGCCUGACGCAGCGACGCCGCGUGAGGGAUGACGGCCUCGG
rnacentral:rRNA from 1 species